UCUGGUUGAUUCUGCCAGUAGUCAUAUGCUUGUCUCAAAGAUUAAGCCAUGCAUGUCUAAGUAUAAGCACUUUAUACUGUGAAACUGCGAAUGGCUCAUUAAAUCAGUUAUCGUUUAUUUGAUAGUACCUUACUACAUGGAUACCUGUGGUAAUUCUAGAGCUAAUACAUGCUAAAAACCUCGACUUCGGAAGGGGUGUAUUUAUUAGAUAAAAAACCAAUGCCCUUCGGGGCUCCUUGGUGAUUCAUAAUAACUUAACGAAUCGCAUGGCCUUGCGCCGGGCGAUGGUUCAUUCAAAUUUCUGCCCUAUCAACUUUCGAUGGUAGGAUAGUGGCCUACCAUGGUGGCAACGGGUAACGGGGAAUUAGGGUUCGAUUCCGGAGAGGGAGCGUGAGAAACGGCUACCACAUCCAAGGAAGGCAGCAGGCGCGCAAAUUACCCAAUCCCGACACGGGGAGGUAGUGACAAUAAAUACUGAUACGGGGCUCUUUUGGGUCUCGUAAUUGGAAUGAGUACAAUCUAAAUCCCUUAACGAGGAACAAUUGGAGGGCAAGUCUGGUGCCAGCAGCCGCGGUAAUUCCAGCUCCAAUAGCGUAUAUUAAAGUUGUUGCAGUUAAAAAGCUCGUAGUUGAACCUUGGGUCUGGCUGGCCGGUCCGCCUCACCGCGAGUACUGGUCCGGCUGGACCUUUCCUUCUGGGGAACCUCAUGGCCUUCACUGGCUGUGGGGGGAACCAGGACUUUUACUGUGAAAAAAUUAGAGUGUUCAAAGCAGGCCUUUGCUCGAAUACAUUAGCAUGGAAUAAUAGAAUAGGACGUGCGGUUCUAUUUUGUUGGUUUCUAGGACCGCCGUAAUGAUUAAUAGGGAUAGUCGGGGGCGUCAGUAUUCAGCUGUCAGAGGUGAAAUUCUUGGAUUUGCUGAAGACUAACUACUGCGAAAGCAUUCGCCAAGGAUGUUUUCAUUAAUCAGGGAACGAAAGUUAGGGGAUCGAAGACGAUCAGAUACCGUCGUAGUCUUAACCAUAAACUAUGCCGACUAGGGAUCGGGC
rnacentral:rRNA from 1 species